UGCAAGUCGAGCGAACAGACAAGGAGCUUGCUCCUUUGACGUUAGCGGCGGACGGGUGAGUAACACGUGGGUAACCUACCUAUAAGACUGGGAUAACUUCGGGAAACCGGAGCUAAUACCGGAUAAUAUUUCGAACCGCAUGGUUCGAUAGUGAAAGAUGGUUUUGCUAUCACUUAUAGAUGGACCCGCGCCGUAUUAGCUAGUUGGUAAGGUAACGGCUUACCAAGGCGACGAUACGUAGCCGACCUGAGAGGGUGAUCGGCCACACUGGAACUGAGACACGGUCCAGACUCCUACGGGAGGCAGCAGUAGGGAAUCUUCCGCAAUGGGCGAAAGCCUGACGGAGCAACGCCGCGUGAGUGAUGAAGGUCUUCGGAUCGUAAAACUCUGUUAUUAGGGAAGAACAUACGUGUAAGUAACUAUGCACGUCUUGACGGUACCUAAUCAGAAAGCCACGGCUAACUACGUGCCAGCAGCCGCGGUAAUACGUAGGUGGCAAGCGUUAUCCGGAAUUAUUGGGCGUAAAGCGCGCGUAGGCGGUUUUUUAAGUCUGAUGUGAAAGCCCACGGCUCAACCGUGGAGGGUCAUUGGAAACUGGAAAACUUGAGUGCAGAAGAGGAAAAGUGGAAUUCCAUGUGUAGCGGUGAAAUGCGCAGAGAUAUGGAGGAACACCAGUGGCGAAGGCGACUUUCUGGUCUGUAACUGACGCUGAUGUGCGAAAGCGUGGGGAUCAAACAGGAUUAGAUACCCUGGUAGUCCACGCCGUAAACGAUGAGUGCUAAGUGUUAGGGGGUUUCCGCCCCUUAGUGCUGCAGCUAACGCAUUAAGCACUCCGCCUGGGGAGUACGACCGCAAGGUUGAAACUCAAAGGAAUUGACGGGGACCCGCACAAGCGGUGGAGCAUGUGGUUUAAUUCGAAGCAACGCGAAGAACCUUACCAAAUCUUGACAUCCUUUGACAACUCUAGAGAUAGAGCCUUCCCCUUCGGGGGACAAAGUGACAGGUGGUGCAUGGUUGUCGUCAGCUCGUGUCGUGAGAUGUUGGGUUAAGUCCCGCAACGAGCGCAACCCUUAAGCUUAGUUGCCAUCAUUAAGUUGGGCACUCUAAGUUGACUGCCGGUGACAAACCGGAGGAAGGUGGGGAUGACGUCAAAUCAUCAUGCCCCUUAUGAUUUGGGCUACACACGUGCUACAAUGGACAAUACAAAGGGCAGCGAAACCGCGAGGUCAAGCAAAUCCCAUAAAGUUGUUCUCAGUUCGGAUUGUAGUCUGCAACUCGACUACAUGAAGCUGGAAUCGCUAGUAAUCGUAGAUCAGCAUGCUACGGUGAAUACGUUCCCGGGUCUUGUACACACCGCCCGUCACACCACGAGAGUUUGUAACACCCGAAGCCGGUGGAGUAACCAUUGGAGCUAGCCGU
rnacentral:rRNA from 1 species